rnacentral:misc_RNA from 1 species
GGUGAGUCAUCGAAUCUUUGAACGCAUAUUGCGCUCUCCGGCAUUCCGGAGAGCAUGCCUGUUUGAGUAUUGGUCUCAUGGGUAACCACACUUCGGGAUGAAAUGUAAAUACCUCGUAAUAGAAGUUGAUUCUACGUCAGACAUGUUUCAUGUCAAAUGUUUAAAGUCCUUCAACAAUUACAUGGUUUUAAUGGAUCGAAGCAAAAAAUUCUUAAAGAAAAAACCCCAUUGAGGCAUCUUGGCAUUGCCAAGUACCUUAAAAUGCAAUAGUACGACAGUAGUAGAACCACUAUGAAGUAA